rnacentral:lncRNA from 1 species
CUCUUCUGCAAAGAGGUGGAGUCUCCCUCCCUUCCCUCUUGAAUUGGGCCUAUCAUGAGAGCAAAACACCAUCUUCUGCUGGAAAAGAGAAAAGGAUAGAAUAUUUCUGUGGUGAGAAAGAAGGUUAUUUGAUACCAAACCCAGACCACACCCACUAGAGCUGGAGUUCAGCUUACAGAAAUGGAUCUAAGAUCAAGUCAAAUCGGUAAAGACACUGGUCCACUAAGGGUCCAGCCUCCACCCAGUGACGUGGAGACUCCGCGAGGCACCCUGAGCUCCGGGAACCCCCUCCUCCCUUUCCUCUGCCCCGAGGUGGUGUCAGCUUCCUGUCUUUGCAGUCUGGAUUCCUCACCCCACCCUGGCUGGCCUCUCGGCUCCUCCAUCCCUUGUGUAAUUGAUCCCUGCCUCAAAGUCCUGUCUGGAAUUCCCUGGUGGUUUCUGUUUCCUGGUUAGAUCCCGACCGAUACACUGGCCUCCGGAGCUGGUCAGCUCUGAUUCCUAGAAGAGAGCUGCUAAGGACCGGCCUGGGGACGCCUUGCUGAAAGAGAGCCCUAAGCUGCCGUGUAAGGCAUCUGACUACGCUGAAGCCACUACAUUGGAAAGGUCACAUGGAGGAGCUCCAGCUGACAGUCUCGGAGGAGCUCAGCUUCAAGCCAUCCCUGCAAGGUAUCAGCCAUAUAAAUGAAUCAGCCCAGCUGCCAGUCAAGUAUCUUUGCAUGGCUUCCAUCAGUGCCUCAUGAAACGGAAGAUUGACUAGCCAAGACUUGCCCAAAUUCCUGACCCACAAAAUCAUGAGAUAUAAUAAAAUGGUUGUUAUUUUAAGCCACUAAGCA